CUUUAACACAUAGUGACUGUGCAAGGCAGGACUUAGCCCUGGAGACGGGCAUGAAUCCAUGAGGCUAAGGAUUUGCCCAGAACACCAGCGAGCCUUGUCUGGCUCAUCACCUUCGCUGGCCUUAGAUGCAAGGACGUAUGAUGCUAAGAAAGGCAGGAGGGCCAUGUCUGCCACGGCAGUAGAGAAGCUGAGAAAACCUGGCUGUGGAAGAAAGCAUGAGACAGAAGAGCAGAGAAGCCAAGAUGGAACCCAUAAGAGAGGGGCUGGACCGAACGGUCCCGGUCUGUCUCAAGGGGCAAUGUGCGAUGAUCAAGGACACUUGAAGAAUGUAGCAAAUAUAAGAGGGGCCUGGCUGUCUGUGGCGUCCCCACCAGAGGUGGCCUGGAGAUGGCCUUGGCCAUCUUGGGAAGGCCCCCAGAUAUUGGCGGUGGCGCACAGGAAGGGGGAGGGGCCGAGACAGGCAGACACCGAUGGACUUAAGGGAACAAGUGACAGCUGGAAGAGCAUCAGAGGUGGGCAACCCUGACAAGCUCCAUGAGGACCCUGGUCCCUGGUGGCAGAACUGACAGACUCAACACCUGCGAUUAAGUUGGGAGGAGGAGGAGACACUUGAGGGCAGUGGGGAGGUGAGAUGGGGAGCGGAAGACAUCCAGUAAAGGUCAUCAACUCAGUUACCACUGCGGGCGACUUGAGAGUGACCACAUGGAAACCAGGAGGCGGCGUGAAGCACACGUGUCACAGAGCUGUCCACCAGAAUGCCGAGACCUGGCUGUUUAUUUUCAUCUCCUGCUUUUCCUAGGGCAGGCGUAUUAGCGCCCACACAGAGAGCAGAAGCAAUAGGUUCCAGAUCACCCAGCCAGCUGUGACAGAGCCCAACACCCACUUCAAGAGUCCAGCCUCACCCUGGCUCUGCUCAGAUGUGACUCCCCAUCUAUCCACUGGGGUGACUUCUAACCUCACCUCCGAAUUCUCUGCCAGAAACAUUCACAGAGAAGAAGUCAACAAGCCGAAAGCCCUUGCCUUUGGAAAGCUGGAAGCUGAUUUGCCCUGGAGCGGUCUUUGCUUUUUAGAAUCGCCCUCCCUCCCUGACCAAAACACACACACUUAAAAGCCACAAUUGCUCAUCCAAAGUGGCUGUCAAUUUCACUCCAAAGAAAUGCAUGUGCACUCUCGCCUGUCCGCCCAUGUGAACACAGCAAGCUACUGACAUAACUACACCCAGUUCCAGUCCCAUCUGGAGAAGGCAUUACAGGAGGAAAGAGUUGGACCUGCGAGAACUCACAUCACCACAUACAUACUUGGAUGCUUAAACUUACGUCAUUUAAAUUGAGAAAGAGGACAUGGCCUUUACAGGUCACCUUCCUCUUCAAAAUAGUCUGGCUCCAUGUCCCCUAAGCACAGAGUGAACAUGCAAAAGGUCAGUGUUCGUCACUGAGCGAAUCCUGCCCUCGUCUUUCUCCAGUGCUGCAAAGACCUUACCCCUGCACAAGUGACUCCCCCCUGCACAAUGGACUCCCCCCUGCACAAGGGACUCCCCCUGCACAAGGGACUCCCCCCUGCACAAGGGACUCCACCUGCACAAGGGACUCCCCCCUGCACAAGGGACUCCCUCUGCACAAGGGACUCCCCCCUGCACAACGGACUCCCCCUGCACAAGGGACUUAUCUCCUGCUCAAGGGACUCCCCGUGCACAAGGAACUCAUCUCCUGCACAAUGGACUCGCCCCUGCACAAGGGACUCCCCCUGCACAAGGGACUCCCCCGGCACAAGGGACUCCCCCGGCACAAGGGACUCCCACCUGCACAAGGGACUCUCCCUGCACAAGGGAGUCAUCUCCUGCACAAUGGACUCCCCCCUGCACAGGGGACUCCCCCCUGCACAAUGGACUCCCCCCUGCACAAGGGACUCAUCUCCUGCACAAGGGACUCAUCUCCUGCACAACGGACUCCCCCCUGCACAAGGGACUUCCCCCUGCACAAGGGACUCCCCCUGCACAAGGGACUCCCCCCUGCACAAGGGACUCCCCCUGCACAAGGGACUCAUCUCCUGCACAAUGGACUCGCCCCUGCACGAAGGACUCAUCUCCUGCACAAGAGACUCCCUCUGCACAAGGGACUCCCCCCUGCAACUCAUCCUCAGCCAGUUUCCUUUGAGUGUGAGAAGUGCGUCUUUUUCAUCUCCUUGGAGAAACCAGACACAGCUACUGGGCUGAGAGCCAGGUGGCCAGGCCGCUGAGAGCUUCAGUUCAGCUGUCUCAGCUCUAUCCAUGCACUAUGCCUAAUCGCUACCGUCUCCCAAGGGCUGACUGUGUGCCAGGGCUGUGCCCAGUGCUCCCCUCAGACUUCCAUGGCAGCCCUGCAAAGUGGAAGCUUAUUUAUACUCCCAUCGCCUCCCGCCAGGAUUACGGCCACACUGCCCACUGAUUGGAUUCCACAGCUCUGCCUGCCUGUAAAUCCCACCCCACUCCUGCCUACAGAUACGACGAACCAGGCUGGGCUUGCUCUCCCUGAGUUGUGUCACUGAGCCAGCAGGAGGGGUGCGGAGAGGGUCUGAGCCCUCCUGCUCUCUAGUGUAGGAGGGGGUGGGCGGUGAACUGGCAUGGCCUGGCAGCCCACUCCUAGAGGAAGGAAAGUGCACACUGGCUGGCAUCUUCUGGCUGGCAGAAGCUCUAAGUGCCCAUGGAGAGAGCAAUGGGGGAAUACCCACUGCUCAAGUCAUCAAAGGAGGCUGGCCUUUGGGUCAUCCUCGGCCUUUGGGCCAGGAGUCAUGACCACCGGCUUCCCCACCAGAUGUGUCUGGGCACGGUCUCUCUGUCAAGAUCAUGUGAUGACUUGAAUUACAAUAAAAG
rnacentral:lncRNA from 1 species